UACGUAGGGUGCGAGCGUUGUCCGGAAUUAUUGGGCGUAAAGAGCUUGUAGGCGGUUUGUCGCGUCUGCUGUGAAAAUCCGGGGCUCAACCCCGGACUUGCAGUGGGUACGGGCAGACUGGAGUGAUGUAGGGGAGACUGGAAUUCCUGGUGUAGCGGUGAAAUGCGCAGAUAUCAGGAGGAACACCGAUGGCGAAGGCAGGUCUCUGGGCAUUAACUGACGCUGAGGCGCGAAAGCAUGGGGAGCGAACAGG
rnacentral:rRNA from 1 species